UACGAAGGGGGCUAGCGUUGCUCGGAAUUACUGGGCGUAAAGGGAGCGUAGGCGGAUAGUUAAGUCAGAGGUGAAAGCCCAGGGCUCAACCUUGGAAUUGCCUUUGAUACUGGCUAUCUUGAGUAUGGGAGAGGUAAGCGGAACUCCGAGUGUAGAGGUGAAAUUCGUAGAUAUUCGGAAGAACACCAGUGGCGAAGGCGGCUUACUGGCCCAUUACUGACGCUGAGGCUCGAAAGCGUGGGGAAGCAAACAGG
rnacentral:rRNA from 1 species